UAUUCACCCUUUCUUUGGAAAUAAAGAAGAAUUAGUCAGUUUUAGGUUUGAAUGUCAGGCAAAAAUCAAAUGGGAGAAGCGACCUGUCAGUCCAGAUUCUAAUUGUUAUUUGGUGUUGAGAUUCAUAUGGCUGAGACAUAAUUUUAACUGGGCGCCUUCAGAUGUAAUCUAUUGCCUCUGACAUGUGAUUUGCUACAAAAUUAUGUCUCAACUAUCUAUAUUUUACAUUACUACUGUAGGCUUCUGAAAUGUAAAUUAUGCUAGGAUGUUUAGCUUUAACUAUGAUAUCCUAAAUGCGCAUGAAAAUACUACUGGGAUUACGACUAAAAAAAUCAUGACAUGCGAGCAAUUCUUGGUUGAAAUACUGUGAGCUUAAAUAACAUGAGCUAAACUAUUGUGCUAUGUUCAGAAUUGGUACUAGAAAAGAUAAUCUAAAUUGUACAUUGUGAAAGUAUAUUGGACUCUUGCCCUUUUGAAAUUAGUCUUCUAAGUAUUACUUAGUAAUAAAUGACAUGAUAACAUGUUGGUUUAGUUUAAAGCUGUAGGCACAGGCUUGCGGUAGGGGAAAAUCAUUGCCAGUCGAAAACCAAAAUGUUUAUUUGUGAUUAUGAUCAGGACUGCGCUUAUUCUGAAAUGGCGACGACCAAUAAUAUAAUGAAGUUCCUUGCUUAGAUGGUUGGUUAAGUCAUAGGUACAACAAGGAAAGGGCCAGCAAGAAAAUUAGCCAAUAAUUGGUUGACUGGUUUAACCCUAGGGAGAAGGUGGCUAAGAGGGCUUCUGAAAAGGGCCCAGGCUGAGGCUGAGGGGGAAACCGUUGAGUCCAAGAAGCUAAUUGCUCUGAAAUAUGGUCUUAGCCAUGUCACUUACCUCAUCGAGCAGAGCAACCCUCAGCUGGUCCAUGAUAUUGACCUGGUUGUGGUUCCCAGCCCUGUGCAGGAAGUUGGGAGGUCCCAUACUGCAUUGUUAAGGGAAAAUCACACCUUGGAUUGACCGCCUCUGUUCUCUGCCUUACCACUGAAGAACGAGGACAAGCUUGAAUUCAGCAAGAUCUCGGAGGCUAUCAAAGGCUAACUUCAAUGACAAGUUCUACGAGGUCAGGAAGAAGCGGGAGGUGGUGUUUUGUGAAGCUCGCCGUUUCAGAGCCAUAUGAAUUUUUUAUAGAAACAUGAGUAGAGUAAAAUGGGCACAGCUUCUGGUACAUGUGAGGUACAGAAUCGUCAAUCUUUGUUGAAUGUUGUAACAUAUUUACAACUGGGUUCAGUUUUGAAUCAGAUAUAAAAGCCAUUCAAGUUUCGGAUAGUUAUAUGAUGUGGCAUGUGCAUGCUUUAUAGUCACCUUGCAAAUUUCAUGAUGUCGCAUAGAUAUUUCUGUAUCUAUAUGAAUGUCGGACCCUGUGUAUAAAGGGGCUGUGCAGGACAAAAUGCUAUGGAUCCAGAGGAGUGGGAGGGGAGAGUUUAUCAACAACACAUCAAGGAGAAAGCGUGACGUGGAUUCCGAAGUUCCAGCUAACAUAGCAAAAUUGUAUAUAGAGAAUGCCUGCAUUUUGCUAUUACAUAGUUUGGGGCUAUGUUUCUUUUAAUUUUCAUUAUUAAAAGGAUCCUUAUCAUUGCCAAAUUAUCAAGCAUUUAUUUUCAAAUAACUCUUGGUUUGAAAUGGGACCUUGCUCCAUUUGGCGCAAUGAGUAAUGUUAUUAUAUGUCUUAUUGUAGACAAGAAGCAUCCAUUCUUAUUGUA